GAUGAACGCUGGCGGCGUGCCUAACACAUGCAAGUAGAACGCUGAAGGAGGAGCUUGCUCUUUCGGGAUGAGUUGCGAACGGGGGAGUAAACCGUAGGUAACCUGCCUGGUAGCGGGGGCUAACUAUUGGAAACGAUAGCUAAUACGGCACAACAGUAGAUAUUCAAUGAUAUUGGCUUGAAAGGGGCAAUUGCUCCACUACCAGAUGGACUUGCGUUGUAUUAGCUAGUUGGUGAGGUAACGGCUCACCGAGGCGAGGAUACAUAGCCGACCUGAGAGGGUGAGCGGCCACGCUGGGACUGGGACACGGCCCAGCCUCCUGCGAGAGACAGCAGUAGGGAAUCCUCAGCGAUGGACGGAAGGCUGACCAAGCGACGCCGCGUGCGAGCAUAAGGUUGUCGGGUCGUGUAGGUCUGUUGGAAGAGAGGAUCGUGUGUGAGAGUGGAAAGUUCACACUGUGACGGUAUCUGGCCAAGAAGCGACGGCUAACUACGUG
rnacentral:rRNA from 1 species